UACGAAGGGGGCUAGCGUUGCUCGGAAUCACUGGGCGUAAAGCGCACGUAGGCGGAUCUUUAAGUCAGGGGUGAAAUCCCGGAGCUCAACUCCGGAACUGCCUUUGAUACUGAGGGUCUUGAGUCCGGGAGAGGUGAGUGGAACUGCGAGUGUAGAGGUGAAAUUCGUAGAUAUUCGCAAGAACACCAGUGGCGAAGGCGGCUCACUGGCC
rnacentral:rRNA from 1 species